CUGAAACAAAUAUAAAGAAUGAAACAAUAUCUACUCUCAAGACACUUCUGACCGAGUAUCUGGGGAGGGAGAAGUAACAAAGAGAAGGCCUGAAUAAGAAAAGGAAAAGAGAAUUUGGAGGCAAAAGUCUUGGAGUGGAGUAGCAGGGAUUCUUCCCACGGAGUGAAAUAAAGUCAACAGAUAUUUAAAAGUAUAGCCCCUCAGAAGUUGCUUCAAAAAACAAACCAACCAGAGAGAAAGAGAGAGAGAGAGAGAAGGAGAAGAGAAGAAGAAGAA